UACAGAGGAGCCAAGCGUUGUCCGGAUUGACUGGGCGUAAAGCGCACGCAGGCGGUUUCGCGCGUGGGGUGUGAAAUCUGGCCGCUUAACAGCCAGGCGCCAUCCCAUACGGCGCGACUGGAGUGAUGCAGAGGUCGAUGGAAUUGCCGGUGUAGUGGUGAAAUGCGUAGAGAUCGGCAGGAACACCCAGGGGGAAACCAGUCGACUGGGCAUCUACUGACGCUGAGGUGCGAGAGCGUGGGGAGCGAACCGG
rnacentral:rRNA from 1 species